rnacentral:rRNA from 1 species
UACUCCGGGGAUAACAGGCUGAUCUCCCCCAAGAGUUCACAUCGACGGGGAGGUUUGGCACCUCGAUGUCGGCUCAUCGCAUCCUGGGGCGGUAGUACGUCCCAAGGGUUGGGCUGUUCGCCCAUGAAAGCGGUACGCGAGCUGGGUUCAGAACGUCGUGAGACAGUUCGGUCCAUAUCCGGUGUAGGCGUUAGAAUAUUGAGAGGAGCCUUCUUUAGUACGAGAGGACCGAGAAGGACAUACCUCUGGUGUACCAGUUAUCGUGCCAACGGUAAACGCUGGGUAGCUAUGUAUGGAGUGGAUAACCGCUGAAAGCAUCUAAGUGGGAAGCCCACCUCAAGAUAAGUAUUCUCAUCAUGUAAGUGAGUAAGGUCACGGGAAGACUACCCGUUUGAUAGGCAUUAAGUGUAAAUGUAGUAAUAUAUGAGCUGAGAUGUGCUAACAGACCGA